GGGUGACGGGACACCUUUCUAUCAAGUUCCGCGGGAGAGGCACCACAACCUCACCGCCGUUGUGAAGUGAUGAGUGAUAAAGCAGAGGAGUCCGCUGCUGGGCCCAAAGGCCAAGUGAGACGUCCUGGAAAACCCAUCACUCCGCCUCCGUUUAAGAAAAGGCUGAGCAUGCCGCUGCCAUCAGUGAGAGAGGAAGGAGACGGAGCAUCCCAACCCGAGGGCUCAGCCAUGUCCUGGGAAGAUGAACAUGAGAGAAUCUUGAAAUUGCUUGAAGGAGUGCAAGGACCUCCAGAAGUGCAGAAAAAAUUUGUCGUGUAUGCCAUGAAGGAAGCGGCAAGAUUUAAAGGACGAAUAAUCGUUUAAAAGACAAAAGACGGCUAAUUAAGCACCUUGAAAAGAUACUAGAAAAAGUAGAAUCUGCCAAUUUCUCAGCAAAGAAUAAGCACAGCCCAAACCUAUAAUCCCAUUAUCUCAAACAAUCGAAAAACAAGAACCAGCUCGCUGUCUUCUAGAAUGGAAUGGGAUAUUGCUGAAGCCUCCUAGCAUGUGUUAAAAGAACUGCCUGCUAGAGACUAAGAACAAAUAGUUGGAGCUUUAAAAAUAUUAUGAAUUUCUGUUAGU